rnacentral:tRNA from 1 species
UCACUAAGAAGCUUAUACAGCAUCAGCCUUUUAAGUUGAAGAGGAAAACACUUUCCUUAGUGAA